rnacentral:rRNA from 1 species
GGUUGUCGUCAGCUCGUGUCGUGAGAUGUUGGGUUAAGUCCCGCAACGAGCGCAACCCUCGCCUCUAGUUGCCAGCAUUCGGUUGGGCACUCUAGAGGGACUGCCGGCGACAAGUCGGAGGAAGGUGGGGGAUGACGUCAAAUCAUCAUGCCCCUUAUGACCUGGGCUACACACGUGCUACAAUGGGCGGUACAAAGGGCUGCGAACCCGCGAGGGGGAGCGAAUCCCAAAAAGCCGCUCCCAGUUCGGAUUGCAGGCUGCAACUCGCCUGCAUGAAGCCGGAAUCGCUAGUAAUCGCGGAUCAGCAUGCCGCGGUGAAUACGUUCCCGGGCCUU